GCUGACUCUCUUUUCAGACUCAGCCCACUUGCACCCAAGUGAAUUAACAGCCUUGUUGCUCACACAAAGCCUGUUUAGGUGGUCUUCUAUACGGACAUGCUUGACACUUGGUGCCAAAAUCUGGGCCAGGGGGACUCCUUCGUGAGACCGGCCCCCUGUCCUGGCCCUCAUUCCGUGAAGAGAUCCACCUGCGACCUCGGGUCCUCAGACCAGCCCAAGGAACAUCUCACCAAUUUCAAAUCGGAUCUCCUCGGCUUAGUGGCUGAAGACUGAUGCUGCCCGAUCGCCUCAGAAGCCCCUUGGACCAUCACAGAUGCCGAGCUUCGGGAUCUGCAAUCAGAACUAUUGAACUUCUCCAUUCAGACCGCCACUCACACCUAUGGGAAAAGGGUAAUGUAUCAUCGGCUUAGCAACAGGGAAUACUAUUCGUAUGAUGGAAAAUGGGGACAAAAGGCUUUGGUACAUAAAACAUUAUUCCUUCCUUGGCCUAAAAACUCAUCGCCACCUACAUUAAAGCUAAUAUGCCUGAUUA
rnacentral:lncRNA from 1 species